CAGUCCCAGCACCAACAUCAAGUACCACUUUAUCCUUGAAUAAAAAUUUAUUCUGGUAAAUAACAUUUUGGUAUGUUUUAGUUCUCACAACAUCCUUCAGCAUUUCCUGCAGUGUAAGGGUGGGUGGGGAAACAUCAACAACAAGCAAAGUACAUAAACAUAUCACCAGACAAUCAACUCAAUGAAUUUUUUAGAAUUCUAGAUAUCAAGAUAUAAAAACAAAAGGAAAAAGAAAAAAUUGAUCUCAACCAAAAGUGACAAAAUAAUAUAGAUACAAAAAGUUAAACAAUAAACCUGCGGAUACAAGAAGGUGAUUAACAAAAUCUUAACUGAUAAAAUGCAGAGAAAGCCGCAGAAAAAAAUCCAAGUAUAUCAUAUAAUAACAAGUGCUAGUGGGUAUUGUGAUAUAAAAAUAAUAACAAAACAGCAACAUCAAGUUACAAAAACUUUAUCCAGUUACGAGACACUUACUUCAUGAAUACCUGCAAAAAAAAGAAGAAGAAAAGAGGUUAAGACAGAUACAAAAACUUUCUACGCCAAAGACCCCAUUCAUUACGAGUAUAAAACAUAAAAUUUUUUAAAGUCAACUGAACCUAGUAUGCACUUGAGAGGGGUGGGGGGGAGACAAAACACAAACGAAGGGAGGAUAAAAAAGAAAAGCGAGCCAAGGAGAGUAGUAUUACCAAAGUGAGAGUAAGAAUCGAAGUAAUAAUCGGCGCUGGUUUUAUCAUCAUCGCAGCCGUCGACAAAGGAGACAUCGGGGUCUUGCAUAGAUACGUCAUCAAUAGCAAU
rnacentral:lncRNA from 1 species